CACCAAGCUGCAACAGAUCCUGAUGCCACUGCUGAACGAAACUCAGUGCAUGGGAUCUUUGAGUUACAAUAUGAAGCAGACCAUGUUGUGUGCUGGUGCUGGAAGCUCUUCACAUUGUUUGAGAGACUUAGGUGCCCCUCUUGUGUACAAAGAAAAUGGCACUUGGACCCUGAUCGGCAUUCUCGUAUUGGCAUUAAACCCCUGUUCUGCAUCCACUCCACUUUACUACAGCCGUGUUGCAUCCUUCGAUGAUUGGUUCAACAACAUCUUUUCUCAAUAUUCGUUUAAAUGAAAUAUGUAUUCAGAUACAUCUGAUAAUAAAUAUCAAAAAAUUUAAUAAACGAGUCAAGACACUUUAGCAUUCAUGGAAA